CCGUCCUCUUAGUCUCGGUAGUGAGCUCUCCUCUGAGGACUCUUUGUAUUUGGAAUCGUCCAGUUUAUUUAUGUGCAAUUUCUCCCCCAACCCCCCAAAAUGUGGAUAUUUGAAGGAGAGGGAAAAAGCAUUCCAUAUAUGAAGAGGAAACUCCAGCUUGGUCCAGGGCUGCAUACCUGCCGGCCUUCCCGUGCCACCGUGCCCAAGGAAGUGGCUCCCAACGAGACCCAGCAGUAAGCGUAGGUAGAUGUGCAAUUGCCCAUAAAAAGAUAAGGGAGCCCCUGCGCCGUUUCGCCGCCCCUGCUGACAGUGAGGAGGUUGCGGGGUUACAACAACCAGACAAAAGUGAUGUGCCCUCCCUCCCGUCGGGUCAGGCAGCCCGGCUCUGCUCUCCGGCAUGGGUCUGUGUUUACAGACACUUGCCUCUGUUUAUAACACUUGGAGAGAAGCCCCCUUGUUUGCUUUUCCUUGCCUAUUAGUUGCCCAGCUGAUGAACUGGAGCUUCUCGCACUCUGCGUUCACUACUCAAAUAAUUUUUAUUUUUUUUUGUAGCGGCACAGGGAAAAAUAAAAAGGGUGAGGGGUGGCUGCGAAUGCUGCGGUGGAGCACAUCAUGGGCAGCCUCUCUGCAGAAGCUGUGUCUUCCCUCGACCGAGUCACCGGGUUGCAACUCCUCCGGGGGAUGCGCGGUAGGGCCCGCGGGCAGCUCCAAUAUCCAGUCUCCGAAUAGCCGUCCAAUAUUUUCCCAUGAGUAAUUUUCCGGUUUUGUAACGUCAGUUUAUCAGAACCGAAAACCCCUGUGAAUCCGCUAAGGAGGAUCUCUUUUAAUUGCUCACUAACGAGGAUGUUGCUAUUUUCUCAGGAGCAGCCAUUCCCGCAGCUAAAUCACAGGAGCCCUAGACAGACCGGAGCCGACAAAAAUCGAGGAGCUAGAGACAUGUUGACGUCAGAUCAGACGGCUCGGAGCCAUCCUGCUCUCCACUUGGGUGUAAUCACGGCGACGCUUUCCAAGCCCCGGCCCGGCAGCGGCCGCCAGCUGGGAUGCGGGUGCAGUGGGACGCGGCACUCCAGCCCCGGGGCUCCUCGGUACAGCCCGGUUUUGAACUCCGGAGGCUCUGUCUCUUCUGAGUUUGCCGCCGAGGUUGUUUGUUUAUUCGUCUGUUUGGGACUUGGAGAAAGCAAAAACGGUGCAUUCCGCGGGCGGGGUUACUCCCCCCAGCCCCCGGCCCAGCGCUUGCUUUAUCUCUGCCCGAUUUCUCCCGGCGCAUUCGCUCACAGCGUUGUCUGUCUUCCAAAAUAAAUACCGAGCCAGGCAGAUUUCCACCUUAUGUCUUGGCAAGGAGAAAUUAGCCGAACAAAGUGCGACGCUUACGCGCGGGCAGUCGCAGGCGCGCUGACACCCCGUUAUCCGAAGUGGUAGUCGGGUUUAGAACGAGCCGGGAGAGCUGGGGGUUGCUGUAAAACAAGACGAUUCCCUACCCAAACGGCAGUGCUGCUGGCAAGGAGAUGGCUUUGCACCUGCUAUUAAAUCCUAAUGAGUCGCCUCUAAUUGAGAGCUGGGGCUGGCUGACGGUAACGCUGAACAGCCAGCAUGGAAGCCUUGGCUCAGCAGGACCCAAAACCACGUUUGAUACGCUUAUUUUGACAAACCUUUUACUUCAACAUUUUCUUUUUUUUUUUUUUUUUUUAUGUUUCGUAUCACUCUAUUUUUUCCCCCAAGGAGGUAAAAGAAUAAUAAUUGAAUAAAUACAACUUAAUCCUCCA
ensembl:lncRNA